rnacentral:rRNA from 1 species
GACGAACGCUGGCGGCGUGCUUAACACAUGCAAGUCGAACGGAAAGGCCUGCUUUCCCUUGUGGAUUGCGGGUACUCGAGUGGCGAACGGGUGAGUAACACGUGAGUGAUCUGCCCCCAACUUGGGUAUAAGCCUGGGAAACUGGGUCUAAUUCCCGAUAGGACUGCAGGGUGGUGCCUUUGGUGGAAAACGAUUUUCUAGUGGUUGGGGAUGAGCUCGCGGCCUAUCAGCUUGUUGGUGGGGUAAUGGCCUACCAAGGCGGCGACGGGUAGCCGGCCUGAGAGGGUGGACGGCCACAUUGGGACUGGGAUACGGCCCAGACUCCGACGGGAGGCAGCAGUGGGGAAUAUUGCACGAUGGGCGGAAGCCUGAUGCAGCGACGCCGCGUGGGGGAUGACGGCCUUCGGGUUGUAAACUCCUUUCGACAGCGAGGAAGCCACCUGGUUGGAAGGGUGGUGACGGUAGUGGUAGAAGAAGCACCGGCUAACUACGU